CAGGGGUUGCCCUGUCCUCGGAAGGGGCUGAGGCCGUGACUGGGUGAGCAUCAGGUGAGCCGCAGCAGACGGUGCCUGCGCUGGGGAGCGCUGCCAGCACAAAUCUCUUAAUAGUCUUUCAGUCUCUGCGAGGCCUUAAAAUCAAUCAGAGGAUUAACUAAGCAAAGCUGUCUUUAUGAUACAUGAUCCAGCUUUGUGCAAUUGGAUCUCGCUUUGCUUGGGCCCCUCUUGGCGGGUGGGCUGCGAUCGGAGGAGCCCUGCGGGAGGGCUCGGGAGCGGAGCAGCUCCUGGGCUGCGGGGGCUCGGGGGGCUGCAGCAUGCCUGGGAGACACAGCAUGGUGCAUCUUGUCCCGUCCCUCCUGCUGGCUUCUUCUUGUAACUCAGCAUUUCUCUUGACAGAAGCUCCCUGAAGAUAAACCACCAGCCGCUUCCGAUGAGCCGCCAGCUUCGCAUGGCUUCUGUGGCACCUUCUGCCAAGGGUAUGUUGCACCUUGCCUUUCGUCUCAGCUUGUGGCACCUGGAAAUUUGGCUGUUGGGGCUGAGCUGAGGCCUGGGAGCCGCUGUACCCUUCUACUGCCACGUGCACCAGGAACCUUCCUGCCCCAAGGACCGCUGUUGGAUGUCAGCAGUGAAGGAGACAACGGGUCCCCAGUAAGUGCACGUGGUGGCUCCUGCCAGGUCGAUAUUUCAGUUCAUCUGCUGGCACCAGGCAGCAGCUCUGUUUCAAAUCAGGCUCAGGAGCAGUUAGCUUGUCCCAAAGCACUCUGCUUUCUCUCCUGCUGAGCGACACAGCGUGCUUGGAGCUGCUCCCAGACACCACCCAUGUGUGAGCACCGCCAGGUCCCCGACACCAGGGGCUGCGUUCCCCUGAGUGCUGCUGCUUCAUGGCUCCAACUGCUCCCCUUGCACCUGCUCAGCAGCAUCGGUCCCUGAGGACUGACAAAAUACCCCCAGCACCAAGCGGGCUCUGUUUUCUGGCACCAUCCUCCUCUCCCCCAGUCUCUGCCAGGCUGGCACAGCGCAGCGAGGUACGGUGCGAUGUAACACGGGGUGAAAUCUGGCUGCUGCCUCUCUCCCUGCUCACCCAAAUCCACGCUGACUUGAGAGCCACACAGCUGUGGGCCUGUCAGCCACCAGGAGUUUGGUCCAUGCAGAUUUGCUACAAGAAAAUGAGAGCUAUAAAUAACAGACACCUUGGGCCAGCACGUCAGCGCGAGGUGAUCCAUUGUCGUGCUCGAAACGUCUCCGGUUGUAUUUCAUGCUUCUGCGUGAAAGUUGCAAGGAAAGAAAAGUAGCCAGGGUAAAAGCCAAUCUUUAGUCACCUUCUGACCUAAAAAAAAAAAAAUGGAGCAGAGGGGAAGUUUUGCUGGGCUAAAACUGGGACCGGUUGGUGGCGAGGUGCUGGGGAGCGCUGUGCUGAGGGGUGCUGUAAGAAACCCUGCGUUUUGAGGAGGAAUGUGAGAAAGCUUCUUUACACUGGUUGCCCAGCAAAGGGCUGCUUUAGAUAUUAACGCAAACCAUUCCUGAGUUUUGCUGCCCUUAAAUCUUUCUGAACUGUUUCUUUUUUGCCAUACAGCUGUCCUGGCUCAUGCGAGGCGCUUCACUGCCGUGGCUGAUCCGGUGUUCUUGGGUGCAACGUCUGUCAGAAAUGAGGUGAAAUUGUUUAAUUCUCUCUUUGUUCUCACUGUUGAAGCACCUACAUACCUGGAAAACAUCCAGAAAGGACAACAAAGCUGGUCUAGGCUGUAGCAGAGCAUCCAUGCAAUGGACAGCUCGAUAGAUGGUGGUUCCUGAGCAGGAACGAGGUGCAGGACAGGACAGCAGUCUCCGAAAUUGUGAGUAGCACGAGGAAGUCACCCAGAGGUGAUUUACUCAUUGGCUCUGGUUCAUCAAACAAAAGAGGUGGCUCUUUGCACAACGUGUCAUUUAUCUGCAGAAGCCUUUGCUGCAGAGCGUUGUGGGUGUCGGAUGUUUACAUGAAUUUAGAAAAAUAAAAAUAAACCGGACGAAGCAGUGGAAGGAAAACAAAAAACACCCUAACAGCUAUUGAAUAACAAACAUCACUUCUGCCAUGGGAAAUCUCUGUAAGCUGUCAGAGUGCUGUGCAGAGGCAUCGCUGCCAGCGCUGUGCUGCCCUCCCUGUCUUCCUGGGCUGGACAGGAUCUCUCCGGUCCGACCUCCUAUAGGCAUUUGCUGUUCUGCUCCUGUGCCUCUCCUCCCCCGUGAUCUCCACUCCCUAUCACUUUUAUCUAAAACUCGCAGCUUUCGUGUUACAAUUAAGUCCCGCACUGAAUAUAUUUUUGCUUUGAGAAGAGUCCGGACAAUUCUAUGUGAAAGCGCCUUCUGGCUGCCCGCGCAGCGCUCUGGAAAGGAAGAGUUCCUCAGACAGCCCUCAGAUAGGCUGGCAAGUCACAUAAAUAGUAAAUACGUGGCUCUGAGAGUUGAAGUUUCCCUGGGAAGCCUGAAUCUCUAGUUCUGUAACGGCUCGGCUAUCAAACGGAUGAUUUACAUCUUAUUAGGUGUUUCCAUCUGCUGAUAGAAAAAUGCUCCGUUGCGCAAUGUUCCUUUUGCUCUGAUCGAGUUCUCACCGUUGCCAGCAGCGCUCUGCAGCCCCCGGCUCGGUGCUGGUGGCACACGGGGGUGCUCGGUCCCGUGGGCGAGCUGGGGGGGCAGCACCCAGGGCUGUGGAGGAGCCGCCUGCGCCCCAGGGGCAGCGUCAGCCGACAGCACCCACCUCGGGGCUCAGCACCCACCUCGGGGCUCAGCGCCCACUGGGCUUGCUGCCACCCAUUUCUCCCAGGGUUUUUUUUUUUCCAGGCUUGGAUGCAAAUCUCCAUCGCUCCUGGUUGAGCACAUGCCAGUUGGUGCAGUUCUGGCCGUGCUCACCCAAAGGCCGGUGUCUGUCUGUCUGUCUUGCAGCCGGAGCUCUGUGCUGCAGCUGGUGGCAGAAGCUCCAACUUGGGGUGCGCAGAGCGCGCCGCUGCCUUGCUCUCCUUUGGUGCCUGUUCCACUUCCCAGGCUGUGUGUGGGUGCUCUGCCUCCGGAGGAUGAGCCGAGGAGCCCACAGACCCCAAAAUAAUUCAUUUGUCCAUUGGUACAGGUUCGCAUCUCCAAAGAACCCCGAAAAGUAUAAUGGCUCCAAAGCAUCCCAGGACGCGUUGCUCUGCGGCAGUCCCUGGGAGUACACUCCCCUCACACAUCAAACAAAGAGCCUGGAAGCUGCAUUCAACAGGCAAGUAAAGCUGAAUAUUUUAAUCAGCAAAAACAGAGGGGAAGAAUGCUGAGACGAGUGAAGAGAGGAGGGAAAUCCUGGGCUCAGUGCCUGGUUCCUAAUCCCUGAACUGUCUUACUCCAGCAUUGUGAAAGCCAGGAGGAAUAAACCUAAUACCAUAGCUUCUUGCCAUCAAGAAACCGUGUAUUAAUACAGAACUGCUAAGGUAAUUAACCAAAUCAGACUUGGUCCAGUGCUGAAAAGGAUUUCUUCCCCCAGGGAUGGGCAGAUGUCUCAAUCUAAUUAUACAAGUUAUUUAAUCAGAAUCAGAGGUCGGGUAUCUAAUGAAAAUACUACCGAACGCGGAGGCAGAGGGGGGGCACGAGCUUCCCAACUGGCAGCGCUUCUACAGCUCUCCUGCCUCGUUUCUGUACACAGCUUUAGCAAGAUCUCCAGGUAGGAAUUUGAAACAACAACAACAACAAAAAAAAAAAGCUAGUGAAAAGAACAUGUGCUAGCAAAAGUUUGUUUCGCUGCCUGGUGUGAAAAGAAAAUUCUUUGGUAAAUGUCAUCAGCGCUUCGCCUACCCGCAGUGCUGCCCUAGGAGCAAGGAGCUGCCUUGUGUCUCAGGUGGUUGAUAGCUCUGUUACCAUUUUGUUAGCCUUGGUUUACCCAGGUAAAACCCCUAGCAGGUGCCUGCAGCCUGCCGAUGGCCCUGUACGUGUGUGGUUGGCAGCGGCUGGGAAGCGCUGGCUUGCAGGAAGGGUACACACCGCGUCCUCGCUGAUGGGCAGAGCCCUGGACUUACAUGAUCCACAGGUGCCCACCAACCUUUAUAACACUUCCCAGGGGUGAGGGUCUCCUCUUGAUUCCUUCCUGGAGUCUUUGUGUGCAUCACACCAACAGCAGCCCAGCUGGGGACCAGCCUCACUCUGCAUUUCUGGCUCUGCCAUCACAGUGCGCCCCUGGAGCCACACGCAGCCAUGGGGCAGUCAGGAGGGAACGCUGGCCCUGGCUGCUGUACUUGCCUCUGGGCCCUCUGUCCAGAAAGAUCCCAAAGGUUUUGGUUUUACCAGCCAGCUGCAACCUUGCCAGCUUGUCAUUAAUGCUGCUACCUACGAGGUUACCUUCUGCCAUUCUGAUGCAUUGAGAAUUUAAAAUAAUAACUUAUGAUCACGUGGACUAAACGAGGACAGAGAGAAAAUGCUCUUUAGCUGAAGAUCUCCUUCAGUUAUUUAAAUGUGUGUAUUUUCUUGAUUAGUUUCAAUGCAUCUUAACCUUAUACUCUGUCCCGUCUAAAUAAGUCGAUGUGUUUGCUGCGUACAGGUAUGAGGUGCCACGGACAUCUAGAAGAAAUGGGCAGCCUUCACUCACAUUUCUUUCUUCAGAAGCAUGGAGCUGUUGGUAACAGCUCAAGGGAAGAAACAGCGCUUGUGAUCGUGUAGUUGUGAACAAACAGCUUGUGAUAUGCUGCAAGACUCCGUCAAAGAAGGUGGGAGACUUCAGCCUGGGAAGGUGGGGAGCGCAGGGGCCAUCUGAGUUCGUGCAGGCUUCAGCUCCGUUCUGUGAGAAUCUGCUCCACUGAGACACGUUGGCAAAGUGUGGGUUCCCUUUGUUCAUGUAGAAAUCUGCUCACAAAAAGCCUUGUGCAAAAAUGGCCUGCUCUUCUUCGAGCACCUACAAAUGGCAAAACUACGAAUUGAGCAUAGAUAUGGGGCUUUUUUUUGCAUAUUUUUUUUCCUGUGAGCUUGUAACUUUGCAGAAACAACUGAAGCUGAGCUGAGGCACUGAAGCCAUUGAAAAUCUGACCCUGAAUAUUAAACAAGCCCCGUGUGAGGUCGUAUUCAUCUAGGGGAUUUAACCAAUUCUGAAUCGCCAAACCACCAUCCCCUGAAAGAGAAUUUACUAGACAAUAGGAAAGGGAUUGACAGAGAAAGGAAUAAAGAUGAAAUGUGAUGUCUGCCUAACCUAUUUUUCUUCACUUCCAUACCCAUCACGUAUCCUGAGCUCUUUAACCAGCCCCUUAAUGAGAACUCUUCUCUGGUUUUGUGUCCCUAAGUGACCAGAGCACCGUCUGCUGCGGGCUCUCCCCCUUCCCACCCUGCUGCCCUUCAGCUGGGAAGCACCGACGUGGCUGGGAACAGCUUCAGCAGGGCACUGGGAAGCGGUGACCCUAAUAAGAAGGAACGGGACGAGAAGUGUUGGGAGCAGGAGUCGGAGCGAGGAGGUGACACAUCACCGCGCCGUGACUCAGGAGAAAGGCCAGGUCCCGAGGGCCUGUUGACUGCAGUGGGAGUUUGUUGGCCCACGGUGCAGCUCAACAAAAUACAAGAAAUACGAGCUGUGGCACAGAUCGGAGCUCAGAUGAGACGGUCCUGUAACCAGUCUGAGGAGUGCUGGGCCCUCGCCAGCGAGCUACUUGCAACACACGAGGAACAAAGAGAAAUUUGACUUUGAACUGGGCUGUCCUAUAUCCAGAAGAACUGUUGCGUUUUUUUGUGUGCUGUACAAAUAAUGCACUGCUUGUAUCACUGUGCCUAUUCCCCACCAAAUACCUGGGUUAUCUACCUGUGAAUUAACAAAACAGGUGUGUGUGCACUGUAGGGUGCGUGGCAUUGUGGCAUCAGACCUCAUUUGAUGCCAUUUAAUGGCAUCUCACUUGUUCUGGAAACAAGCAGGAUCUGCUCCUGCCCUGUCAGCUGUGGAGUCCCGCACGACACGGCCAGCCUGCUUUUGGAAGCUCCAACUUCUUUGAAGCAAAUAGUUCCUUAAGGGGAGGUUGAGGAGCAGUUCUUGCCUCAGAUUUGCCUGCUUACAGGCAGCCUUGUGGAGCUGGGACAGUCCCUGCUCGGGGAGAUUUCUGGGAACACAGCAGCGAGCGCCAGGACCGAGCAGGGAUCUGUCAUUGCGGAUCUGGAAAGAGUUAAUGAAAGCAGAGCUUGUCUGGCCAAGGGGCUGGUGCGGCUCCAGCAGAGCAGUGACUCACCGAUAGAGCAUCCUGCCAAAGCACCCAGCGAGCUCCUCAUCCUCAGAUCCUCCUCUCCAAACAUAAUAGUGUGAAUUGGUCCAGCAUCAUGGCUAGGAAGCCCGACUGAACCCGGUCUGUACCUCACCAGCCACCAGGACUGUGACGUUCCCGUGUCACCAAACGACCCCCGUGGCAUUUCACUCCUACACAACGGACGGCUGCUCAUCAGACUAAAAUUAAAGCAGGUAACAAAUCAAUAUCCCAAACCCGCACUGCUUUUGGACAAUCAGCAUUUCAGGGCCGGCUUGUUUGCCACAGCGAGGCACGGCUCUUCUUUAUUCAAACCCUCCAGCGGCAUUAACAUGCUCGGUGCGGAUCCCUGCCCUGUCAUACUUCUUAUCUCAAGGACAGCACCUCCGACAGCAAAAUGCCCCAUCCAUCACGUGGGAAUAUUAGCAAGCGUCCGGUCCUCUCGAGGAUGAAUAAAACCCGGGGCCCGCUGGCUCCACGCCAAGCCGACCGCUUCCGAAAGCUGCCGCGGCCCUCCCAGGCCAUUCAUGCAGCCGAGCUGUUUCUUUAGGGCAGCGGGCACACGUGAUUAAGCGAGGGGAUAUUUAGGGGGGAAACAACAACUCAAGAAGCCAAAAGGGACUCAUCGUGUGUGCCCAAAAUCACACCGAGCCCCCCGCAGAGCCGUGCGUGCGCUCCUGGGUGUGUGCACGGGGCCGGGAUGCCGUCCCGGUGCCCCGCUGGGCACGGGGCUCUUGGUGCUCGUGUGGCUGUGUGCAUCCUGCGUUCUGCUUGCCUUUGUUUUGGUUGGUGCUUCUAAUCCCCCGGGGCAUAUCUCUGAGCUGAGGAACUUUAGAGCUGAUACAGCUUUUUAAAGUGGGGAUUAUGUAAAUGCAUAUUACGGGGCUUUCAUAAAUAGGGAUUAUUUGUCGACUGCAUUUGAGUGCUUCCUUUGGAGCCAUUAAGGUCUGU